GACGGAGGGUGCAAGCGUUGUUCGGAACUACUGGGCGUAAAGCGUGCGCAGGCGGCUCCUUAAGUCAGAUGUGAAAUCCCCGGGCUUAACCUGGGAACUGCAUUUGUGACUGCAUGGCUGGAGUGCGGCAGAGGGGGAUGGAAUUCCGCGUGUAGCAGUGAAAUGCGUAGAUAUGCGGAGGAACACCGAUGGCGAAGGCAAUCCCCUGGGCCUGCACUGACGCUCAUGCACGAAAGCGUGGGGAGCAAACAGG
rnacentral:rRNA from 1 species